rnacentral:rRNA from 1 species
GUAGAACGCUGAAGCUUGGUGCUUGCACCGAGCGGAUGAGUUGCGAACGGGUGAGUAACGCGUAGGUAACCUGCCUCUUAGCGGGGGAUAACUAUUGGAAACGAUAGCUAAUACCGCAUAAAAGUCGACAUUGCAUGAUGUUGACUUGAAAGGUGCAAUUGCAUCACUAAGAGAUGGACCUGCGUUGUAUUAGCUAGUUGGUGAGGUAACGGCUCACCAAGGCGACGAUACAUAGCCGACCUGAGAGGGUGAUCGGCCACACUGGGACUGAGACACGGCCCAGACUCCUACGGGAGGCAGCAGUAGGGAAUCUUCGGCAAUGGGGGCAACCCUGACCGAGCAACGCCGCGUGAGUGAAGAAGGUUUUCGGAUCGUAAAGCUCUGUUGUAAGAGAAGAACGAGUGUGAGAGUGGAAAGUUCACACUGUGACGGUAACUUACCAGAAAGGGACGGCUAACUACGUGCCAGCAGCCGCGGUAAUACGUAGGUCCCGAGCGUUAUCCGGAUUUAUUGGGCGUAAAGCGAGCGCAGGCGGUUAGAUAAGUCUGAAGUUAAAGGCUGUGGCUUAACCAUAGUACGCUUUGGAAACUGUUUAACUUGAGUGCAGAAGGGGAGAGUGGAAUUCCAUGUGUAGCGGUGAAAUGCGUAGAUAUAUGGAGGAACACCGGUGGCGAAAGCGGCUCUCUGGUCUGUAACUGACGCUGAGGCUCGAAAGCGUGGGGAGCAAACAGG